rnacentral:rRNA from 1 species
GUGCCAGCAGCCGCGGUAAUACGGAGGGUGCAAGCGUUGCUCGGAAUCACUGGGCGUAAAGAGCGUGUAGGCGGUUUCGUAUGUCUGACGUGAAAGCCCCGGGCUCACCCCGGGAAGUGCGUUGGAAACUGCGAGACUAGAGUCCCGGAGAGGAAGGUGGAAUUCCAGGUGUAGCGGUGAAAUGCGUAGAUAUCUGGAAGAACACCGGUGGCGAAGGCGGCCUUCUGGACGGUGACUGACGCUGAGACGCGAAAGCGUGGGGAGCAAACAGGAUUAGAAACCCUUGUAGUCC